UACGUAGGGUGCAAGCGUUGUCCGGAAUUAUUGGGCGUAAAGAGCUCGUAGGCGGUUUGUCGCGUCGAAUGUGAAAACCCGGGGCUCAACCCCGGGCCUGCAUUCGAUACGGGCAGACUAGAGUUCGGUAGGGGAGUCUGGAAUUCCUGGUGUAGCGGUGAAAUGCGCAGAUAUCGGGAGGAACACCUGAGGCGAAGGCGGGCUACUGGGCCGAUACUGACGCUGAUGCGCGAAAGCCAGGGGAGCGAACGGG
rnacentral:rRNA from 1 species